CGAAACCGAUAGCGAACAAGUACCGUGAGGGAAAGUUGAAAAGUACUCUGAAUAGAGAGUUAAAUAGUACGUGAAACCGCUUAGGGGUUAAGCCCGAUGAACCCGAAUAUCUGAUGUGAGAAAUUCAAUACUGUUCAUUCAACGGAUAGUAUGCACUUUUCUCAUAGUAAGACAUUGUAAUCCAUUGAUGCUAUAUCUCUUUCAUUAACGGGAGAGAUGAUUUAACAUACGGACAAGAUGUAUAUGUUUAUUCUAUCAGUGAUGUGUUUACAUGUCAUAUGAAUAAGAUCGUUUUGUACCUGUUUAAAUAGUCGAUGGAUUUUAACUGAAUCAUGCUUGCAAUUUAUUUUGCGUUUCGUAUUAUCGGCCCGGUAACGGGUUGGUGGUAGCAGAAAUGGCAUGCAUUCGAUUAACAAUGCGAUAGAUUUGGGAUACUUUCAGGACCCGUCUUGA
rnacentral:rRNA from 1 species